rnacentral:misc_RNA from 1 species
AACGCACAUUGCGCCCUCUGGUAUUCCGGGGGGCAUGCCUGUUCGAGCGUCAUUACAACCCUCAAGCUCUGCUUGGUAUUGGGUGUCACCGCUUUGGUGCACCCUAAAAUCAGUGGCGGUGUCACCUGGCUCCUAGCGUAGUAAUACUUCUCGCUAUAGAGCCUAGGUGUAUGCUUGCCAUAAACCCCCACUCUCAAGGUUGACCUCGGAUCAGGUAGGGAUACCCGCUGAACUUAA